rnacentral:lncRNA from 1 species
UUAGAAUUGUGAAAUCUUUUGAUCCCCAAACAACCCUUUUGUUGAUUAUGGAGUUACAGUAGUAGUUCCUCUUCCUGUGGUAUUGGUAAAGCAGGUGUCCCCCCUUGUUAAUUGAUAGCAAUCUCCUCAGUCAGUGUCUUUAAAAAUUUUAUAAAAAAAAUAUACAAGGUAUUAUAGAUAUGAAAUAGUGAGUGAGGUUAGAUUUUAGGAUAAUAUGAUUUAAAAGAAGCAACAAGUACCUAAGCUGCAUUUGAAUCUCUAAUCUAUAUUCACUAGAUGUAACUAGUCUUCAAUCCAUGCCAUGCUCAAUUUCUCAAUUUUUGGGGUUUCAAAUGCUAGCAGUAGAGUCAAAGUUGAUGCUUCUUGUUUAAAAUAUAUUUUGUCUAAAUCUUGAAAAAUGGUAUUCUCUGUAGUGUUGUAGUUUAAAACGUAUAUAAAUAUUAACACAUGAUCGAUUCUCAGUGUUUUGGUACGCACGGACAUCCUCAGGUAAUGAGAAUUUCAUCAUAGUAAAAGUAAUCGAACCAACAAUCAUGGAUCUGAUGACUGGUUGGACAAUAUGCGUUAAUUACUAAUUUAUUGUUUUUCCUUUUUUGGAUUUUGAUAUUUUAAUAAUAAAAGAUAGGAAGAUCUGAUUUGGAAGAUUUAAAAGAUUUGCAGGAAAUGUUGGUUCCAUUAUGGUGAAUCCUUUUUUUUUUUGGUUAUAGUUGUAGGAGGAGAUUGCUAUUAAUUUUGUCGGGGAUGCCUGUUUUAUUAAGAAAUUUAGGGAGGGCUUGUAAUUUUUAAUCAGACAAUGGUUGUGUUUAUGUUAAUGUAUUAUUAUAUAAUGCUAUAUUGGAACCUAAGAGAGUUGUUGAAAUAGGAAACAGGGGGAUUUAAGACAAAGAUGCUUGUUUAAUGAUUUUAUGCCUUCUAUAAAUCACACCACC